rnacentral:rRNA from 1 species
UUGACUGCGAGAGCCAUCCGGGAACCGGUCGCUACGUCGGCCAUACGCCCAGCGACUAGAAGCGUGAAACUGUCACCAGCAGCAAAGUCGAGGUCGUCGUGGU